rnacentral:rRNA from 1 species
GUGUCAGCCGCCGCGGUAAGACGAGGGGUCCUAGCGUUGUUCGGAAUUAUUGGGCGUAAAGCGUGUGUAGGUGGCCUUACAAGUCAGUUGUGAAAGCCCCGGGCUCAACCCGGGAAGUGCUUCUGAUACUGUUUGGCUUGAGUACUGGAGAGGAUAGUGGAAUUCCUGGUGUAGUGGUGAAAUACGUAGAUAUCAGGAGGAACACCGGUGGCGAAGGCGGCUAUCUGGCCAUGUACUGACGCUGAGACACGAAAGCGUGGGGAGCAAACAGGAUUAGAUACCCUGGUAGUCC